GACAGAGGCCCCAAGCGUUAGGCGGAAUCACUGGGCUUAAAGCGUGUGUAGGCGGAUCGUUAAGUGUCUUGUGAAAUCCCACGGCUCACCCGUGGAACUGCUGGGCAUACUGGCGAUCUUGGGCCAACUAGGGGCAGUCGGAACAAGCGGUGGAGCGGUGAAAUGCGUAGAUAUCGCUUGGAACGCCAAUGGUGAAAACAGGUAGCUGGGGGUGUGCUGACACUGAGACACGAAAGCCAGGGGAGCGAACGGG
rnacentral:rRNA from 1 species